rnacentral:lncRNA from 1 species
ACUUCAUCUUCCCUGCAGUGUCAUGAGAUCAGAACUAUCAUCACCUCCAUCUUCAGAGGAGGAGACGAGCCUGGAGAAGACGCUGGGCCACUUGUGGGUCCCCAGCCAGGAGGGAGUGCCAGGCGCCAAGGGGUCUCCAUGUCCAGCCCCUGCACAGGUGCCCAGGCCGCACACACGUCGGGGGAGAGCCCGCCGGGCCAGCCUCGCCUCUGUGGGCCAGCUCUCGUCUUCCUCCAGCAGCUUCCCUGUCUUCAGCGCUCCCUGUGGUCUUCAGAGCUCCUGCCAUCUGAACCCAUUCCGGCAUCCGGCUGCAGUCUUUGCUGCGCCGGAGCCACUCAGCCCACGUUCACCCUGCGUGAGCACAUCCUGUCUCAGCCCAGGGGACUAUUUCCAGGCGUGCAGAGAUCCUGCCGUGACCAUCUGACAGCGACAGCAACAGUCACAGCUUCUAUUUCCAUCCUUUUUCUGAGGGAGAGAGAAAACCACCAAAUGCUGGUGCUUCACGG